CCGCUUGAAGAUGACGAAUAGCUUGAUUCACUCGAAUCACUACUCGUGCCACUGCUAUCGGAACCAGUACUGCUGUGUGACGACCUGAACAAAAAGUCAUGGUUCAACUUGCAAUUAUUCUUUAUACAUCAAAUUCUGACGAAAAUGGGCUAAAAAUCAAAUGAUUGUCAUUACCUGGAACGUGAGCGACUUUUGAUGACUUUUGCGACAGCAGCUGCAGCAAUGGCGGCUUUGUCUCUAGUCUUUUCAUGAUGACGUUGAUGCGAGGAGAGGGGGCUUGGAGCGGGUGGAUUAAGACCUGCACGCCGGUGCAGGGUACCAGUUGUGGGAGAUAUGGACCCCUUUGGGGGGCGAGGAGACGGCGCCGGUGGGUUCAUCAGCAUGGCUCCUCUCUGAGGUUGAACUGUCGCAGGCGCAGGGAUGGAAGGUGAAGGUGAUGUAGGAGGCUUCCCCCCCUUGCCGCCUGGGCGGGACCUAGAGGGAGGGGAAGGAGAUCGGGACCUGGACAGGGAGUCAUAAGAGCUGUAGCUAGAGCGACUCGAGCUACGGCUAGAGCUAAAAUAAUUAUACCACUCUCAUAUUCAGAUUUUCUAAACUUCCUAAUGUCUUAACUGAUCAAUAAUGCCGAUAACUUAACAUUAAAUGAGUUGGAGUAAUAUAUUUUGCAAUAGUUUCAAAAGUGUAAAUUAAAUGCAAAUGGACUGAAUUUUUUAGAAGAAAUUGAAGAUCAUAUAACAUCUGCUGAUGUCUUAAAACAGGUUGAUAAAUCCAGUACCAAAAAGUUGAUCAGAUUGUUACUAGCAGCAUUGAUCGUUUCUGGAGUAAUUUUGUGUCUUUCAACCACAUAGUAAAAGUAUUGAAACGCGAAUAGAUAUGGUAGGCUUUUUCGAUAGGAACGUAUGGUAUAUUGUAGGUAUCAAAUGAUGAAAUACAGAGAUAAAGAAGGAUUGCUUUAAAAGAAAGCUGUUCAUUAAAGACAAAUUCAAUAUUUCAGCUUUCAUUUAUAGAUUUCUAUCAAUAAGUGACAGUAUUAAGAAAUGAAAUGUAAUUAUAAAUUGGUCGAUUUCUCUUGGACCUGAUAAAAAUGCAAGCAUCAAAAACAUA